GACGAACGCUGGCGGCGUGCUUAACACAUGCAAGUCGAACGGAAAGGCCCUGCUUUUGUGGGGUGCUCGAGUGGCGAACGGGUGAGUAACACGUGAGUAACCUGCCCUUGACUUUGGGAUAACUUCAGGAAACUGGGGCUAAUACCGGAUAGGAGCUCCUGCUGCAUGGUGGGGGUUGGAAAGUUUCGGCGGUUGGGGAUGGACUCGCGGCUUAUCAGCUUGUUGGUGGGGUAGUGGCUUACCAAGGCUUUGACGGGUAGCCGGCCUGAGAGGGUGACCGGCGUCUUGGGGCCGAAGUUAGGCCCCAGCAGCGAAGGGGGGGCAGGGGGGGGAAUUCUGGCGGAGGGGGGGAGAGCUGGAGACGGAAGCCCGCGGGGCGGAAGACGGUCUUAGGGGGGAAAACCCACUUUCGCAGGAAACAUGGGGGGAGGGACGUUAAUGGAUAAGAAGGCCCGGGCUAGCUACGUG
rnacentral:rRNA from 1 species